CCUUUAGAAAUAGAGGUUUUCCCGCAAGGGACAGUAGUCGAGGUGCUGCAUGGCUGUCGUCAGCUCGUGUCGUGAGAUGUUGGGUUAAGUCCCGCAACGAGCGCAACCCUUGUCCUGUGUUGCAACUUACAGGCACUCUCAGGAGACCGCCAGCGAUAAGCUGGAGGAAGGUGGGGAUGACGUCAAGUCAUCAUGGCCUUUAUGUCCAGGGCUACACACGUGCUACAAUGGACGGUACAAACCGUCGCAAACCCGCGAGGGGGGAGCAAAUCGGAAAAAACCGUUCUCAGUUCGGAUUGCAGGCUGCAACCCGCCUGCAUGAAGCUGGAAUCGCUAGUAAUGGUAUAUCAGAACGAUACCGUGAAUACGUUCCCGGGCCUUGUACACACCGCCCGUCACAUCACGAAAGUGGGUUGUACUAGAAGUCUGCGCGCCAACCGCAAGGAGGCAGCGGCCCAAGGUAUGACUCAUGAUUGGGGUGAAGUCGUAACAAGGUAGGCGUAGCGAG
rnacentral:rRNA from 1 species